rnacentral:lncRNA from 1 species
AGUGGACUGAUUUCAUCUACAAGUAUGAAGUCCCAAAGCACAUCUAAGAGAGACUCGUGAAGAGAAGAAUAAAUGGUUCUCCCAGUCUGAACUGAAAACCUAGGUUGAUGGAUACUCUAGCUUGUUCCAAGUUUGGGGACGCUCCAUCAAAACCUUUUGUAUCUUUAUUACUGUUUUUUUAGCAUGUUUCAAUGUCCGCAACCAUAUUAGUAUGUAUUUCCGUACUUGUAAUAUUAGUGUUAUCUUCAAGCCUGCCAUGAGAAUUAGUAUAUCCAAUGAACUCGUCGUUUUUAGAUGAAUGUCUUUAUUACAGCUUAUGGUUAUUGUUAUUUGAUGUGCGAAUCCGGUUGAAUGAUCCCUUGUUACUUU